GAUGAGUUACAAACAUAAUGUUGGAUUUAAAGAUGGAGCUAGUACAUACAAUACCAAGUUCAAUUCAAGUUCAACAAGGCACAAUGCAGGAUAGAAAACAGGUGUUUCUUCACCCAUAGGGGUGCUUAGCUAUUCCACUGCUGCACCCCGGAUGGGUAUGGGGGUGCAUAAUAAACUAACAAAAUAAAAAAGCCCAUCCUGUAAGCCAUGUUGAGGAAAGGGAUAUUACAGAGACACCCUAUACCCCCAUCCUGUCAGACCAAGGGUGGAAAGCUAAGACACGGGCGCAAUUAUAAUGAUUAUGAAUCAUUUUAAAAUUGUCUCAGCAGAUACAUAUGGCAUUCAAAACAAAACGAAAAAACUGAGCUAAACUAUAUGUAAAUAUUUUGAAGAUGUACAUGUAUGAAUGAGUACAUUUGUGUGUACGGUUAAGCGAUGAGGCAAAUAGUUGUGUGAAUAAGGAGAGUCGAAGCGCUAUAACUAGCCCAAGUUAUUUAUAUAAGCUCGCCCUCACUGUAGAUAAGUCGAGUCGUCAGUGUUGUUGCAUGAAGGCCGUCAUUUUCUUUCUUGUUUCACAGUGAUCGAACAAGAGAAGACAUUGUGAAGCCUCGUACAAGAUGUCAUACAUCUUCAUGACGUCACUUCUAAUAGUAGUCUCCUUUGUUAUACUCGGGGUAUACGUGAGGGAGAUAGGAUAAGAUAUGCUUGUCUGUUCAUCUCUGGAGCUGAAAUGGUUCGGAUGGUAUGUUCGCCAGUAUAAAUUAAGCGAAAAGGAAAGAAUAUGGUAGAUUAAUAAUGAAUUCUAAGUGCUACCGGAAGGGCGUAUAUCUGACUUUUUCACCGGAAUAUCCUGUGCUGCAACACUCAUUUACGUCAUUAAAUAACUUGAAUAUGUUUCACUCAUGUAAUGAAAGGAGUACAACAUAUUUCAGAGUACAUAAACUCAUCAAAACUACCUAAAUAUAUAGAUAAAUUUACCUAAAUGUACAUUUCCAUAAUUUAUGCUUUUAUGAAUGGUACUCACCCAUGCAGAACUUCCGGUCGGAGCAUAACAAAAGGCUGUAGACAACGGAAGUGUAUAACAAUGAAAAGAUGCGUAAUUUCUCAUUGUGAACAACUGCAUAUAAUUAUAAGUAACCUCCCAUGCAGGUAUAGGAAAUAUAUAGCAGCUUUCAUGCCGUACUUCAGAUAUGACUCUCACACUUUAUGUAGCCUCGAUAAGCAAAACAGCAAGAUAAAAACGGGUAAAAAUAUAAUAUAAUUAAGUAUCUCGCAGUGAACUCCAACAAUAAUUUCAUAGAAUUUGAAAUUAAGUGAAAUUUUGAUAAUAAUUCCUUUCGGCAGACGACAUCUGCUUGUGUUCCCUCCCUGUCUGUCCUCCGACUCUGGCUUUGGCUUUAACUUCCUCUCUUUUAUAAACACUCCAGAUAUAGCUUAUAAUACCACAUAACGAGUAUUUAUCAAUAUUUUAUUAAGUAAAACCUAAAAUUAAAUGUAUUGUUUAUUACAAUUUAUUUUUGCUUAUAUUUACGCUGCUUUAUGUUCAGGAGGAUCACUUUUGGAGACAGUGUUUGGGAUUGAGUCAUGGCCUCGCUUGGUGGAUUCGUCGAGUUCUUCCAAAAAGGGAAAUUACAUCCCAAGAAAAACUUGUUCCAGACCUUCCGACCCAGAAAGAAAUUCGAGCCAGGAACUCUAAAAUACUCGCUUCACAAGCAAGCACAGGCAUCCUUAAACUCUGGCAUCAACCUCCGAAAUGUGGUUAGUCUACCACCAGGGGAGGACCUCAAUGACUGGAUCGCUGUACAUGUUGUAGAUUUCUUCAACCGAAUCAACUUGAUAUACGGAACAGUAUGUGAAUACUGCACACAAAACUCGUGCCCCACUAUGUCCGGGGGGCAGAAGUUUGAGUACUUAUGGGCAGAUGGUGUUAAAUAUAAAAAGCCAACUGCCUUACCUGCAACAAAAUACAUAUCACUCCUCAUGGACUGGAUUGAGACACAGAUCAAUGAUGAACAUGUUUUUCCUGUUACUGUUGAUGUUCCAUUUCCAAAGUCUUUUAUACCGUUAUGCAAGAAAAUUCUCACCCGGCUCUUCAGAGUGUUCGUCCAUGUUUACAUUCAUCACUUUGACCGCAUUGUGGCCAUUGGAGCGGAAGCCCAUGUAAAUACCUGCUACAAGCAUUUUUAUUACUUCAUAAUGGAGUUUGAUUUGGUGCCACAAAAGGAGCUCGAACCACUAAAGGAUAUGACUGCAAAGAUCUGCUAUGACAAUCCUGAAUCUCCAAUAAACUUUGAACAUAAGAAGUAGCAAGAGAAACCUGCAACUAAGAACGAAGACUUCGCAUCAUAUGGACCUUAGAAGUUGUGGGAACUUUACUUUCUAUCUCAGAAGAGUGUCCGAGACAUGGAUCCAGAGAGACUUAGUUUGUACCACUUGAUUAUAUAUGUUUAGGUAAAUACAGUAUUGUGAAAGUAAGCACUAUGGCUGCUUUACCAGAAUAAAUCAUUAUUUUAUUAUUAUUAUUAUUUUAUUACUAGAAGCUUCAGCAUACUCAGUAUGUGAUAGAAAUAUUCAAUGUUCCUCAGAUUUUGUAGUCCACUGCUGUCUUGUUGGCCUUUCAGGGUUUUUGCAAUGAACAGCAAAGCAUUUCUGGAACUGUGGUGCCCAGUGUGUGUUCUUCCUGGAACUGUGGUGCCCAGUGUGUGUUCUUCCUGGAACUGUGGUGCCCAGUGUGUGUUCUUCAACAUAAAGCUAUUUUUCAAGUUAUUGCCAUCUUAUGUUGCCUCGGUUUUCCAUAACUCUGGAGUUUUUCCAAAAAUAUUUAUUUAUCAUUUCUUCUAGGAAUGGGGAAUGUAAAGUUCUUUGAACAAAUUCAAGAAAAUAAUUUAAAUAGGCCACUGUUUAACAUUUUCAGAUCAUGUUGAUGAAUAUAAUGAAGAUAUAUUGGAUGAAGAUAAUCUGUAGAACUGAUUUAUCCUUGUGUACAUUACGUGUUUAAAACCUAAGUGUUAACGAAUUUAUAUUAUAUUACUAUGAAUCAAAAAUAUAGGGUAUGUUUGUGAUAAUUAAAAACCUAAUUGUAAAUUUUUUUAUGCUGUUCAAAAUAUUAUUCAAAAGAAUUAAUCUUCUCUAUGUUUUUUCUCUUAUUUUUACCAUCUACUCACAUCUAAGGUUCACCGACCUUGGUGUUAUGGUCAUUUCUUGUCUGAUAAUGGGUCUCUCUACCAUAAUACGUAUAAGUGGGUUGCAUUGUAUUGAAUCUCGAUAGAAGUUACAUACUGGUAGUUUACAGAUAUUAUUUAUAUAUUUUGGAAGUACUGUGUUAAGUUCAAGGUUGUAGCUUAAAAACUUAACCUUUUCUCAUUAGUGUACUUAUGAUGGAUAUUCUUGAGACUAUUGAAGUUACCAGCGAGUUAUAUCGUCUUCUGAGUGGCAACCUUUAUGAUUGGCUUUAAAAUGAAAGUAUUUACCAUGUAUUUAUUGUUUCAUUGUGAACUGAGCCUUAUUCAUAUGUGGCUUUAAUUUUUUUAUUUUCAACUUGACUUUUAUAUUGUAAUGUAUAUUGGUUAUAACCAUUAUACAGUAAUGUAUUCUGGGUACUCACUAGACUUAACUUUAACUAGUUUAAAUGUAGUUAAUUUGCAUUAGUACAUGUACAGGACUUGUCUGAUUUCUGGUGAUUUGGUUCCUAAUUACUCCCAAUUUUUGUCAGUUCUGUCAAAUUUUUUGUUAACUUUGAAUACAAUCACAUGAUAAAUUUUUAAUUUCCAAAG
rnacentral:misc_RNA from 1 species